rnacentral:miRNA from 1 species
UGCUGCUAGAUGGUGAAUC